rfam:Camelus ferus unplaced genomic scaffold scaffold413, whole genome shotgun sequence.
GAGGGUAUAGCUCAGUAGUAGAAUGCAUGCCUAACAUGCACAAGGUUCUGGGUUCAAUCCCCAGUACCUCCA